rnacentral:rRNA from 1 species
UACGAAGGGGGCUAGCGUUGCUCGGAAUUACUGGGCGUAAAGCGCACGUAGGCGGAUUUGUCAGUUGGGGGUGAAAUCCUAGGGCUCAACCCUGGAACUGCCUUCAAUACUGCCAGUCUAGAGAUCGAGAGAGGUGAGUGGAAUUCCGAGUGUAGAGGUGAAAUUCGCAGAUAUUCGGAGGAACACCAGUGGCGAAAGCGGCUCACUGGGUCUCUGCUGACGAUGAGGCACGAAAGACAGGGUAGCGAACGGG